UUUCCGUAGGUGAACCUGCGGAAGGAUCAUUAUUGUAUAACCGAGGUGCGAGGGCUGUCGCUGACCCGAAAGGUCGUGCACGCCCGAGUGCCCUCACACACAUCCCUCUCACCCCUAUGUGCACCACCGCGUGGGUCCCCCUUUGGCUUGUUCGGAGGUGGGCUUACGUUUUCACACAAACUUUGUAUGCAGUGUAGAAUGUAUUUUUUGUUUUUGCGAUCACGCAAUCAACACAACUUUCAACAACGGAUCUCUUGGCUCUC
rnacentral:misc_RNA from 1 species